AGUUGGGCUUAACGUAAGCUUUUCUUUACCAAAGAAGCCGAUAGAAAAAGAAGAGUCUCCAUAUUGGAUGCCAUAUACACAUGUUGAGGAAGCACAUCUUAGUGAAUUGCCUGCAUACAAAAAUUAAACAAGGUUUUCAAAUUUAAUUUUUUUCCCACAACUAUAAAUAGCAAAAUAAAUGAUUGUAAAUUCGAAUUUAGUUUAAUUAUCGAACUUGAAUUUCUCAAGUUCCUGUUCCAAUUUUUUUUUAAAAAAAAAAGAAAUUAAAGAUGUGGGUACCUGUUGCAGAAGCAAGAGAAUCACAGAGAGAGGAGCCACAGGAAAUGUUGGUGUAUGAUGUAGACCGAGAGGGAUCAAAAAUAGGCUCAAUUUGAUCAUAGCAAGACCUAACACAGGGCUCACAUUGCGUCCAGUUGAGAUCGCUUCCGGU
rnacentral:lncRNA from 1 species